rnacentral:lncRNA from 1 species
GAUGACAGGGUUUCCGCUGGCGGUCGCCAUUAUCGCAUUUUGCGAAAAAAUAAUAAUUGUGGCGAUUAAAAUUCGUCAUUGGCGAAAGAAUUUGGCGAAAGAAAUAUAUAAAACAAUUUAUUUUCAGCCAUCUUGUUUAUUUACUUUUUUCGGGUUUCUCUGACUUUACCGAUCAGACAAUACUCGGAAUUCACCUUGAACUCGUUAACAUUUUGACAGAAAAUCAAUAAUCAGCUGAUUGCAUUCAUAAAUCAUUCGUAGCUGUCGACAUCAAAGGACUAAUUAAUAAAGGUGUUGAUUGUUAUGAUAUAACAAAAUGAUAUGAUUAAAUGGCUUCUGUCAUUUGUCACAAAAGGGAACUAUUAACCACUUUGCGACGCACGUGUUUGAAGCAAAAAUUUUACGCUGCCUCUCCUUCUUUUAAUGAUAGUCCAGAAAAGAAAAUUGUUGUUAUGACGAAAAAUGUUCAAAAGCAAGAAAGGUCUCUGAUUUAAAACUUUAUCAUUUAACUUUCAGAUAGAUCAUUGAUUUGAGUGGGUACUCCAAAGUCGUUUCAGUGACACACGUGUUUCAAGCAUAUAGUUUUACUUAUUUACGAUGGUCUAGAAAAGAAAACUGUCGUUAUGAAGAAAUCUAUUCAAAAAGUUUGGCAUGAGAGUAACCCUUCAAUGUAAUGACUACACCUUACACGAGGGAUCAAUUCUUGCUUCGUUUUGUUGUAAAAACGACUUCUUAUUUAGGGGGGGGGCUGGAAAAAAGGAAAAUUUUAAAAGAAAAAUAUACUGUGUUACUUGGCGAAAAAAAUAAUAAAGUGGCGAAAAAUAUAUUGUUUUGGCGAAAGAGGUGGCGAAAAAAAUAAUUGACCCAGGGGAAACCCUGAG